rnacentral:rRNA from 1 species
UACGAAGGGGGCUAGCGUUGCUCGGAAUCACUGGGCGUAAAGGGUGCGUAGGCGGGUCUUUAAGUCAGGGGUGAAAUCCUGGAGCUCAACUCCAGAACUGCCUUUGAUACUGAAGAUCUUGAGUUCGGGAGAGGUGAGUGGAACUGCGAGUGUAGAGGUGAAAUUCGUAGAUAUUCGCAAGAACACCAGUGGCGAAGGCGGCUCACUGGCCCGACACUGACGCUGAGGCGCGAAAGCGUGGGGAGCAAACAGG